rnacentral:lncRNA from 1 species
UUUUGUCAAGCAGUUAUCGCCCAAGAUUGUUGUCUCGUUAGACCGAGGUUGUGACAGAACUGAUGUCCCGUUCCCUCACCAUAUAAUCCAUGCACUCCAAUCGUAUUCCGGCCUCCUCGAGUCCCUUGAUGCGGUGAACAUGAACCUUGAUGCCUUGGAAAAGAUUGAAAGGUUCUUCCUUCAACCAAGCAUUGAAAAAAUCGUGUUGGGUCGACAUCGGUCUCUUGAAAGAAGACCUCCAUGGAGGAGUUUGUUUAUACAAUCCGGAUUCUCUCCAUUAACUUUCAGUAACUUCACCGAGUCUCAAGCCGAGUGUUUGAUUCAACGAACUCCGAUUAGAGGUUUCCACGUCGAGAAGAGGCAGUCAUCGCUCGUUCUUUGUUGGCAGAGACGUGAACUAAUCGCCGCUUCAGCUUGGAGGUGCUGAUAAUGAUACCCGGUUUUUGCCCGUAACUUAAUGCAUUUUUAGUUUCUGAUAUCUUUGUUUUCCUUGAAAUUUUUGUUUUGCCUGUGAUUCUCUUAAAAAGCUAAUUGUCUAUUAUGUACCAUUAGGUCCCUAUUGUUUCAAAUCAAAAACCAAAAACAUUUUAGCUAAAAACUGUAUGGCUAUGUACAGCUUGCUUCCGAUGUGGGAAUCAACUGUUUUGGGUUCUUUUCUCUCUAAAUCGUCCUUUGUUGUACACUUAAACAACCAAGGCAAAAAACAAGAUUAUGGGUAAAGAACCUUUCAAAUUGAAUGAAUUGUUGCUACAAAUUUGAUUAGUUAUGUUAUAUGGAUUUUAUGGCGCAGCAGUUCCCUUAAGGUUUGGUUUUUAUAUCAGCAUCCCUGUAGGUUUUUGUACUAGAAGUUACAUUAUAUUUUGUUUCUAUUUUUUAUGUUAGAUAAAAAAUAAAUUGAGAUGAUUUUUUCUUAAACCCAAAUGAAAAUAUUUUUAAUCCCUCUGUUAAUAUGAUCACAUGGGUGUGUACCAUUGGACCCCUACAUGAUUAGUUUAUAAAACUCAUUGCUUUAUUAUAGAAAAAAGAAAAAACACAAUGAUAUAAAUUAAUGAUAAAAGUCAUGUUGCAUGUGAGCAGAGGAGAAAAAACACAGAAAAAAAUGGGUGAUUAAACCAUAAUAAUUUAUUAUUGUAUAUUAUUAAUUAAGUCCUAUUUGUAGAAUUAUUAAUACAUGGGGGGAAUUUUUGAGAAUUUAUUUAUUUAAAGAGUUAAUUGGAGUUUGGGGUCAAUGUUGAAGAUGGUGACAAGCCGACAGACAGUCAGGCGAUAGUUUAGUUAGCGAGUCUGAUCUUAAGCAAUGAUUAAGACAUGAGAGGAUUAAAAUGUAAUUUUAUGUGAAAUUUUACCCAACUCAAUCCAUCCCUCCAAGUUGUCUUGGACAACAAUUCAAAAAUUUUAAAAAUUCCAAGUUGACAUGAUACCGAAUCAAUUUCAUCCUUCAUCCUUCAAUACAGAGAUUAUCUUAUAAUGUAAAAGUAAAUUUAUAUUUUAGCUACUUAACUUUAAAAAAUUACAAAAUAAACUUUACCGAAGUGUACAAAUUACACGUGGACUGCUUUUGAAAUCAUCGAAUCAUCAAAAUUCAUAGAAGCUCAAUCAAACGGAGGUGACUGAUUGUCUAAUGGUGCCACAAAUGUGGGGGAUAGUGAGAAUGUUAAAUUCUUUGGCAGGUCCUUGUAUUAUUUAUUGAAUACUAAAUUAGUCCUUCUAAUUGAUCUUCAUUUUCUUCUCCUUUACUCUUUGUUUUUUUUUUUAAAGUUUUCUCCAAUUGAGUCUCUCUCCCUAACUUAAUAUUGAAAAAUAUUUCGAGUAUCAACUUCAACACUUUCAUAGCUCAUUUCAAGCUCGAACAUCUCAUAACCAACCCAACUUCAAAGACGAUUAACUUUUGAAAUAGGUAAUUUAAUCAUCGUACAAUUAAUUUAUCAAUGUUCACAAAAUUAUAAUUUUUAAAAAAAAUUAGAUAUAGAAAAUAAAAAUGAUUAUUUUUAUUGUGUAAUGACUAAUUUGCUUCGGGCUUAUAGUAAAAGGACCCAUAAGGGAAUUUAACCAAUGGAGGAGGCCUAAAAGAAUGAAAGGCCAUGAUCUUGCGUUCGGACACGUACCGAAAAUAUAUAACAAGACCUAGCUUGAUGAUGUCAGCUCAUCGUAUGCAUGUAUGAGGCGAACAAAAGGUAGUAAUCCGAAAACCUUUUAAGAAGGCUAGAAUUGAAUUAUAAUUUUUUGAGAUAUUAAAAUAUAAUUUUAUCAUAUAUGAUUUUAUUAUUUUAAAGGGUUAAAAAAUAAUUUAAUUAUACAUUAAUUUAUAAUUUAAUUCAUCAUUAACGGACUGUAUAGUAAUUUUUUUCUAUUUUUAGGGGUAAUGUCCCGUAUUUACAUUUUUUUGAGAUUUAUUUUGAUUAUUAGUCCCACAGUUUAUUUUAAUGAUGGAUUCUUAUGGUAGAAACUAUCUAUUAGGAUGGUCUUAAAAGAAAAUUUUCCCACCAUAGAAUUAAUUUGUCAUUCAUGGGAAAUUGUGCUUCGCGUCCCAAACAUCAUAGGUGGAUUUAGGGGGCUGGGGCUGGCAGGGGCCGGCUCUCUUAAAAUAUAAAAUUUUUAUUUAGGUCCUUAAAUUUUUAAAAAAAUUUUAAAUUAGUAAAAGUAAAAUUACACUUUGCCUCCCUUAAAGUUAUAAAAAUUUGAUUUAAUCUUUUAAAAAUUAUAAAGAUAUAGACUAUAAAAAAUUAAAAUUUCAUUCGGCCCCUUAAUAGUUUGUUCUGGUUCACCCCUGCCAAACAUUGCUUAUAUAAUCCUAUACGCAUACAUAUUGAUUUCAACUACAUUGAUAUUGGGUUUUUAUUGUCGGUAUUUCCAUUUUUUAAACUUGAGAAAACUCCCGAAUUAAAAGAAAUCUAGGUUUUACUUUCAACGGUAUCCUAUGGUAAAUUUGAAGCCGAGCCAAGUUAAAUCUUUAAAUAGGGUAUUUUUGCUAUUGUUUUCUUUGUUUAUAAAAUUUAAAGUUGAGACGUUCCUUAAAUGAUAUUAAAUUUCUUAUCACUCGAUUCAAUAAGUUUGGAUGAUCUAUUACUUUAAUGCAAGCAGUUAAAAUACAAGGUGAAAUCAAUGUAUCACCCCAACAUCUUGCAUUUGAAAGUGCAAUGUGCACUGUUAUUAAACAACACUUGUGGUUUUUUGAAUUAGUAUUUGUCAAAUCUACAGCAUACCAACUUAAUUAACUCAUUGAAAAUCUUAUAGAUUGGUUUGAGUAUGUUUAAUCACGUUUUUUCUUCUCGGCUGAUGAAAAGUUAAGAAGAAGAAACAAAUUGGUUUUGUUGUUGCUCUAAUAACCACGACUGGGGAAAAAGCAUUGAAGGAGCAGAAAGAAUAUUUUUUCAUCCUUAUCCAUAUAUUGGAAUCAUUUUGAGGGGUUAAGGGAUGUCUUAAGUACAUUGUUGGAACCCUUGCCCUCCAUAAACUAGAGCCAAUCCCAAUUUUGUUCUUUUUAGCCCGAUUCUUUCGAUAAGUUUUUCUAGAACAGAACUGUAGUUUUAAUCAGAGUAAAUUAUUAAUCGGAAUAGAUCCACACAAUAAGACUCAAAUUUAAUCGCUCAAAAUCUCAAUGAAUUGUUGGGGAUAUAAAAGUAGCUUUUAACAAGUUAAAAAAACAAGCAUUUGGUGCAUGGAGACUAGAGGUAAGUGGUCCAUUGGGGGAAAAGGGAAAGAACAUAAGCAAAAUGCAAAGGAAAGUGGCUUUGCCCUUAUCAUAAAUUUUUACCCCCAUGGAAUGGACCUGCCAUUGUAAAUUCCUUUAGUCACCUCAACAGUUGAAAGCAGAUUCCAUGGAAAUUGAAAAAGAGAGAAAGACCUCAGGUUUGAGCUAAGGCAUCUUCUUGAUAUGGAAGCCCAUUUAUAAAAGUUGUACACUUUUAAUUUAUUUUUUUUUUGUUUCUUUGAAGCUCUAAUAAUAAUAAUAUAAAAAAAAAUCAACCUUCCAUUGAAAAAGUAUAAUGAUAAACAACUUUUCAUUGUGGAAUUGAAGGUAAGCUCUUUUGUGUUGGUGAAGCCUCCUUGGAGUGAGGGAUUCAGUUAUAUACACACAUAUAUUAUAUAGUUUUUAACAACAAUGAUAUAUGCUAAAGGGUAGACAUAUUUGCCAGCUUUUCCUCUUCAAAAACAUCUUUGUUGGGUUCGGAUCCUUGUAUAACUUCCAGUUUUUAUAGGUCUAAUUUUGCUAUCCGUCCUUGUAUCCUUAGAACUUUUGAAAUUUAGUCCCUUUGUUUGAUUUAAAAAUUAAAAUUCAGUUAAUAGCAUAGGCGAAUUUAAGGGGAUAGGUAGGGGCUUGGCCCCUUCCUUCCCCCAAAUGAAAAAAAAUUGUGAUUCAACCCCUUUGUAAAUGAUUAAAUUACAAAUUAAUAUAUGGUAAAAUUACAUUUGGCUCUUCAAAAAAAAGUCUAUUGAAUCCCUUACAAAAUGAUGAAAUAAUAAAAUUAAUACAUGAUAAAAUCAUAUUAUUCAUUGUCUUCUUUUAAAUUUGAAUAUGCGUGAUCAAUUGAAUUUUCAUUUUUAAUUUAAACCUUUGGAUAUUAGAAUUUCACAUCAGGGGCAAAGUCAGAAAAUUUUUUUUGGGGACGGAAUUAAAUUGCAUAUUUUUACAAUAGUAAAAAUGCAAUUCCACCAUUUUAAUAGUCUAUAUCUUUAUAGUUUUUAAAGGAUUAAAUCAAACUUUUAUCAUUUUUAGGGGGCAAAAUACAAUUUUCUCAUUACUAAUUUAAAAUUUUAUUAAUUAUAAAGGGUCUAAAUAGAAAAUUUUUCAUUUCAGGGAGGUAAGGGCCCCUGCCAGUCCCCUGGCUUUGCCACUAUUUCAUAUAUUCAAUUUUAAAGAAAGUUCAUUAACAAUCUUAUCAAUUAAACCCUAAUUUUCUAAUCAAACAAAUUAGAAGAAUCGAAUUCUUUGAAUUAAAAAUAGAGACUAAAUUUCACAAUUUUAAAAAAAUACAGGGAUUGACUGCAAAAUUAUACUUUUUUUUUAUAUGGUAUAGCCAUAGAAAACCACCUUGGGUCCAUUUGCAUGGGUAAAGAAUAUAAAAAAGGUUCAAAAGAACACACACACACCCAAUUUCAAUAACACUUUUUGAGGUGACCUAAGCUAAUUAUUGAUUAUCAUGCAUCGGAAAUUGCUAACAAUCUUGUUUAGAUUAGGCUAAAACAAAGUUUAUGAAAGUUAAUCACAAGAAUUAUACUAUACCAUGCUAUCCCCUUAUAAUUAAAAAAAAAAACUUAAUCAUGAUUCUCAUAUAUUUCAUCAUCAACUAAUAUAUAUGUGUAUGUACUUUUUAUGAUUCUAAGUGAUAAUUUGAUUAAUAAUUCUUUGGUAUUUUACGUUGUCAUGCUAGAAACAUGCACAUUACUAUAACGUAUAUAGUAUAGGAUAAGCUGUAAAGAAGAGGGCAGCCACCUUUAGGGGUGCUUCUUGAUGUUCUCUUAGCAAUGAAGCAAUCUCUUGAUGUGUGUAUCAUGUGUACCACAUUAAUUAACCUUUAUUGUUAGUUCUAGUUUAUGAUCAAUUAAUUAACAUGAUUAAUUAGUAUUUAAUGAAGGACCCCCACAAGUUAUGAAACCAAAAUUUAAUAACACUAAGGGUAACUUUGGGUUUAAGGAAUGUAAGACUAUUUUCGGUAAUAGUAUUAUUGGAUACUUGGUACAUUAUUGAGUAGGUUACAUUACCUACUUGUUAAUGGUGAAGCAAAAAAAAAAAAAAUUGGAGGGGCCAAAAUUAAAUUAUAUUUUUAUAAGAACUAAAAUAUAAUUUCAUCAUUGUAUUAGUUAAUAUAUUUAUAAUUUUUAAAGGAUUAAAUCAAAAUUUUAUCAUUUUUAGAAGGGCCAAAGUGUAAUUUUACUAUGUAUUAACCUAUAAUUUGAUACAUUUUAGAAGGUAAAAACUACAAUCUUCCCAUUUUAGGGGGGCAAGGCCCUUGCUUGCCCUCCCUUGGCACCGCCCUUGCUGCUUGGUUCAUUUGGCUGGGAGGGAGGUAUAAUUCUAGUGUAUGAUUGACAAAAUGUAAGAUAUAGUCGUUGUUUUUUUUAAAAAAAUAAGUUUAGUUAUUUUCAUAUUUUUUAGUCACAAAUGAUUUCAUAGAAUUACGAUAACUUAUGAAAUUUAAUUAUCUUAAUUUUAAUAUUUAAAUUCAACUAUUGAAGUUUAGCUUUUUUUUAUUUGAACAAUUGAACCCAAUUACAAUAAUUUAUUUAUAUCACCUGUUAAUUGUUUAUUUGAGAGAAUUUGGUAGCUUUUAUUGUGAAAUCGGAAGUUAAACCAAAAUUUUCACAAAAAUCAAAUAUAUACAAAUUUAUAUUAAAACUUGCAAUGUACUCUAAUAAAAAAAUAAUAAAUUUUGAACAGAAUUACACUUUAUUUUUGCAAAGUAAAAAAAUGAAAUUGAUUAAAAUAAUAAAAAUAAUCGUCAAAAUUGUAUAAAAUUUUAAAUUUCGUCUAGAAUGUAAAAUUAUAUAAGAAUUAUAUCAUAUGUUUCAGGAUCUAUAUAUUAUUGAGAUUGUGAAAUUAUCAUGUAACACCUCAAACCCAACUUAGAUGUUAUGGUCAGAUCUUGAAAGUUACAAUACCCACUUAAAAACAACAAAUUAUUUGCUUUCAAAAACAUUGUAUAUUAUCGUGUUGAUAAUUUUGCAGAAAACACGUUUCAGUUCAUUCCUAGAAAACUUAAUCGUUGCCAAAUAAGUGUUUAAACAAAAGAACAUUCACCAAUAACAACCAAUUUAAACAUGCAUAUUAAUUUUACUUAUUUUAUCUUUUUGAAAUCCCAAUAGCUUAUUUUGCUUUGCAGUGGAAAAAUCCAUAACUUAUUUUAUUUUGAAAAUCAAACAUUUAACUUUGAUUAGCAGAAAUCAGACAAAUUAUUUAAAUGAUUUAACUAAUAUCCUGCAGAAAACUAAAAACCGAAAAUAAAGUCCCAAAAUUAGUUCAAAGGUUCAAAAGUCUAGAAAAUUUAAUUACUAAUUAAAUUAAACCAUCUUAUGUGAGAAAAACCCAAUCCAAGCUGUCGAGACGCUGCUGAUCCCUAAUUUUGCAGAUUACUUGAAGAGAUAAAGUAAAUGAGUGAGCUAUGAAGUUCAGUGUGCGAUUUAACUCAAGCAUAAGUACAGAUAAUGUAAUAACCAUAUUAGAAUAUCAUAGAGAAUUUUAUAAUGAUUAAUUGAGCAAAAUUGAGAAUGCAUGAUUAUGUCAAUGCAGUAUUUUUCAAAAAAAAAUAUAAUGCAGAUUUUUCAAAAAUUUCCUACCCAACUCCGCUACACACCAAAUAGAGUUCCCCAAUACUCAUCCAUCCAAAACACACCAACAGAUAAUUGUGGUCAAUGCCAUCAGAGUCGUAGAUAAACUGCCAAAACAAAUAUAUAUGGUUAAACUACUAGAUAGUGCAGGUCAUUAAACUACCAGAACUUCCUUCUUACUAUAUCAUUCGCACCCCAUACAAUGUGACAUGGCACGCAAAUACAGAAUUAGAACAGUUAGCAAGUUGAUCAUGCAACCUUAUAAUAAACAGAAAUCAAUAGACAUAAAACUCCAUACUUUACAAAACAAAAGAAUCAAAUUCAAUAAUCACAAAUCAAUUUCGCCAUAAUGUCACAUGCUACUAAUACUAUCAAAUAUACAGAUCACAUAUAUAUACAAUUUAUUCAGAAAAUAUACACACAUAACAGAACAAAAGAUUACAUUGAUCGAUCCAUCAUAAAUAUCAUUCGUCAGAGUCUAUGUAAUCAUUAACCUCAAAUAUGCAAUCCAAAACUCAACCCUAAUUAAACUUAUUCAAAAUGGGCCCACAUGCCCGUGUGGCCUACACACCCUACCUGGCACAGCCCGUGUGGGCCACAUAGUCGAACACAUGCCCGUUUGGCUUACACGGCUUGCCACACGACUAGAAACACGAUCGUGUAGCAUCGACAAUUUCGGUUUUUCACUGUUUUACAAAAUUUUAAGUUAGCGCCACACACCUGAAUACUUUCGGGAUGUCGACAGAACAUCAACAUACCAAAAUUUGCCCAUAUGGCAUCCACAAUUAAUCAAGUAAUGAUCACUUAAAAAGAUUCAACCCUAACUUCCCUAGCAUUCGACGAAUAGCAAUAAGGCACUCGACCCUUUGUGAGCUAAAUUUUCGCAACCAGCCCCUAAACUUGGGCGUUAGAAACUUACCCUAGAAAAGAAGAUUAUCGAAUUCAACUCAUUGGAGGAAUAUGCAUCACACAACCUUUACCUAAACAGAAUUACACGAAAGAAAACGAUCAAAAUCUCCAUAACUGAACUCAACCAUCUAUCACAGCCUUCUUAGAAAAACCAAAAUAUAAUAGCACCCUAAACGAAUAAUGCUUUAUAAAAGAAAAGAAAAAACGACGAUCAUACCAACUCUCUUAUCUCACACGACCAGCAACAAAUCCAGAAGAAGCGACGACACCAGUCAGAAGAGUAACAAAAUAGAAGACAAAAGGAGCGACAAAAGAAAAAUCAAAGGGACUAAUGUGAAGAAUACAAAGAAAAAUGUGAGAGAGAUGAAGAAGUAAAAAGAAAAUUCCCAGUAACCAAAGAGAAAAACAGACGUGCAAGCAAAAUGGAGAAAGUGGAAAAUGGGGAGUUGGGAAAGUGAGGAAUGGCAAAAACAAAGGGUAAGCUAAGGCCUUACUAUUGAACUAGUAAGCUUAUUCUUGCCAGCAAAUUAACAAAAAUUAAAGAUAACCCUUACGAACCAAAUCAGGUAUGGAAUCAAAAUUAAUAAAGAAUUUUCUAAGGAAAAAAAUUGAACACAGAACCUCAAGCACACAACUAAAACACUUAACCAUUGAAUCAAAUUAAUUUACUUACCAUGAUUCCUACAACGUUAAUUCAAAAACAAUACGUGACCACUCUUGGUUCACUAACCCAAAUUCUACUAAUCUAAUUUUUAUUAUGUGACAUACCAUCUCAACAAAUUCUUGAAAUGCAAACGUAAUAAUAUUACAUUACCAAACAAAUAUAAAAGUUUAAAAUGUCAUAAGUCAUUGUAUUUGUCACAAAUUUGAAAUGUUAUCGCAAUACUUUUAUUUUUAAGAAUUUAGUUAUUUUACUUUUUUAUUUAAAUAUUCAGGCUCAACUAUUAAUAUUUUUAAAAUUAUUUUAUUAAAUUGAAGUUCAUUAUAAUGUCAGUUUUUUAAUUACAUGACUAUCGAGUUAGUAUUUUUUUUUUCAAAAUAUCACAUCAACAAAUUUAACAAUAUUAAUAAGUAGACUUAAAUUUUCAAAUAUAAAAAAUAAGAAACUAAAUUUCUAAAAUAAAAAUACAAAAUUUAAAUUUAAGUUUAUUACAUAUUUUAACCAAAAUAAAAUUUCGCAAUCCAGUAGGAUGAUUUUGUUUUCAUAGUACUCAUGGUUUUAAUUCUCCAACAUUUUGGAAGAGCGAGAGAGGGAAUAGAAGAAAGUGACAAUUAGUUGAGCUACAUAUAGAACACAAUGAUUGCAGCCUUUUUAACAGGCAGGCCAUGACCCCAUUAUUUGGCAUACUAAAAUUAAUAGAUUAAAAAUAUAAUAUAAAUAUUUAAUUUAAUUAAUAUCAUUAAUGUUAUUCGUGUGAAAGGUUGUAGAGAGGUUAUAGACCAUCGUAAAUAUUGUAUUAUUAUAUAUAUGUAGAAAGACAAAUGGACCUAAAGCCAAAAAAACCCUUGUGAGCAUCCAAGGCAAACAGAAAAAAGUAAAGGGCAAUAAGAGGUAUUCACAUUGUUGGUUUUCAAAGGUGGGGUUUACCAAUAUGGGAAUUAUGUUCCAUACCUCUAGUCAUCUAACGUUUGAUUCUGAUGGCAAUUGUUUUAUAAGCUUAUCCAACAAUACUUGAACUUCAUUUGAAGUGCUCAAGACUCUGCUUGCCCUAUGCCAUCACCGUUGAUUAAAAAUGUCUAAUUUGGAAUUUUAUAAAUAAAAAUCAGAUUUUUACUCUCUCUUAGUAAAUAAUAGAAAAACAAAUAAAAUUGGAGUCUGUAAAAGAAAACUUUAAAAGAUGCUUGGCCACCAUAUCUUCUCCUAACACUUUAUUAUUUUGCCUACAUUGUUUUCUAUUUAUCAUCUUCCUUUGUUCAUUUUUCUUUCUACAAAUUUCUUUUUUAAGUCAGCUUAAAAACAACGCGUUCAUUGCGUCCCACACAAAUUUCUUUGUAUAUUUCUGAUUUUUUCCCCUUUUUAUACCAAAAACUAAAAAGUAAGCACUCAAUUGCUUUGUCAAAAGCCAUUUAUGGUAGGACCUCCAUUAACGAACACGACACCUUAAUUUGCCCCCCUCCCCCUUUUAUUUCCUCUCUCUCUCUCUCUCUCUUCGUAUUCAAGUCUUCCCCUUUCUUCUACCUCUAGAAUUUUGGGUGCUUCAAAUUUUGGAGUGUACUUUUUUUUUUUCUUUUGGAGUUUGUUCUUAGAUGAAUGCCAUGCCCCUAUCCUUUGAGGAAUUUCAAGGGAAGGGGGCUUUAGAUUUUGCUUCUUCAACUUCAUCUUAUUCCAAUUCAUCACUGUUAUUACAACACCAGCAACAGAAAAAGUGGCAAAACAACAAGGAAAGUUGUUGCUAUGUGGGAUUUGAUCCCACAUCUACAAGAAGCCCGAGUCCACCAACGUCUUCAUCAACACUGUCUUCCUCAUUCGACGGAGGCAGCGGUGGUGCCUCCACGGACAGUAGUGGCGUGGCGGAAACAGCAACUGUCUCCAAAGGUAAAAGUCAGUCUUUUGAUACAGGGACGGGAAAAUGUGGUUUAAGUAUGGAGGAUUGGGAGAAUGACCAAUCCAUUUUGAGGCUAAUUAUGGGUGAUGUUGAUGACCCUUCUUUGGGGUUAAACAAGAUUCUUCAACCACCAAGUGGCAGCUGCGGUGGUGGUGAGUCGUCGAAAAAUAUGGAGUUUAAUGCUGGUUUUGGUAUGGUCGAUCAUAGUUUCGGGUUCGACUCCAUUACUAGUAGUGUUAGCUUGAUGAACAAUGAUAUGGUUUCGUGUUUAAAUCCUGUAAUUGACCAAAACCAGGCCGAGUUCACCCAGAACCCGGUUAUGUUAUUCCCUUCGUAUGCUGCUGAAAUGCAGGAACAUAAUCUUCUGUCACCACCACCGCCGAAUAGAUUCAAUUCCGGUACAAGUGGACCGAAUUAUAAAGUGCCGAAAGUUCAGUUUUCGAGCUUCGGGACCGGAGCAUUAUCUCCGGCGUCAACAAUUGCUUCAUCAAAGGCCAACCACGCCGAAGAUAGUGACUGAUGAAAUGGCGAACCAACAGCUUCAGCAGGCAAUAAUAGACCAAUUAAUUCAGGCCGCAGAGCUGAUCGAAACCGGUGAUCCGGUACUCGCGCAAGGGAUAUUGGCGCGGCUCAAUCACCAGCUCUCCCCUGUAGGUAAGCCCUUUAUAAGGGCUGCUUUCUACUUUAAGGAGGCCUUACAAUUACUCCUUCGUUUCAACACUACCAACACUUCAACUUUGUAUACUACCAAUAUGAUUUUCAAGAUCGCUGCUUACAAAUCGUUCUCUGAGAUAUCUCCGACCGUUCAAUUCGUGAAUUUCACUUGUAAUCAAGCAAUUCUCGAGGUUUUCGAAGGGUGUAAUCGAGUUCACAUAAUCGAUUUUGAUAUCGGAUAUGGUGGACAAUGGGCUUCUUUGAUGCAAGAACUUGUUUUAAGAAAUGGCGGUGCACCUUGUAUGAAAAUUACUGCGUUUGCUUGUCCAACAAGUUACGAUGAAUUCGAACUCGGAUUCACAAUCGAGAAUCUUAAGCAUUUUGCUAAUGAAAUCAACAUGGGUUUCGAUAUCAAAAUCGUUAGCCUCGAGGCAUUGAAUUCGUGUUCUUGGUAUUCAUUGCCCCUGCAUUUCGGUGAAAACGAAACGAUUGCUGUUAAUCUACCGAUCGGUUCUUUUUCCAAUUACCCUUCAACUCUUCCAUUGAUCCUCCGUUUCGUAAAGCAAUUAUCACCCAAAAUCGUUGUCUCGUCUGACCGUGGCUGUGACCGAACCGAUGUCCCAUUCCCUCACCACAUAAUCCAUGCACUCCAAUCAUAUUCCGGCCUACUCGAAUCCCUCGACGCAGUGAACAUGAACCUCGAUGCGUUGGAAAAGAUUGAAAGGUUCUUCCUUCAACCAAGCAUUGAAAAAAUCGUGUUAGGUCGACAUCGGUCCCUCGAAAGAAGACCUCCAUGGAGGAGUUUGUUUAUACAAUCCGGAUUUUCACCAUUAACAUUCAGUAACUUC